rfam:Ciona savignyi cont_32111, whole genome shotgun sequence.
GUCGUAUUGGCCUAGUGGUUAAGGCGACAGACUUGAAAUCUGUUGGGCUCUGCCCGCACAGCUUCGAAUCCUGUCGGCGACG